rnacentral:lncRNA from 1 species
CCACGUGUCGAUACAUCAAUGUGUGGCUGCAGGAAAUUGCUGAGUGCAAAAUAAUCUCCAUCAAGAUCUGCGUGUUUGUUGAUCAGUAGAUGCAUGAUAUAUGAUAGAUACACCAUCCUAUCCAGAUCAGGUCUCCAGGAUUUAAAUCUAUAUGAUGAAUUAAAAUUUUCUGUGAAAUUCUAGCUGGUUGCUCUGGUGAAUAUUGGAAAACAUGAAGCCUUUCAUCCCCAGAAUGGCUUUUAUUGGGGCAGACGAGUAAGUGCUUCACAGCCUUUUCCAUUAUGGAGGAGAACUUUUAAAGCACAAGUGUGGUUGAGAAGAAAUGAAAUUUCCUUUCCAGAUUGGCUUAAGGUGCUAAAAAAUGCUGUAAUUGUUGUUAGUGCCAUACAGACAAGGUGGGACAGCACAGAGAGUCAGAUGAAAUUUAAUGAUAAGUGAUAAUGUCAGCUCUGUUCAUAUUAACCAAGCAUGAGUUUGAGGUUAUGUUUCUCUUCCAAUUUAUCUGAAUUUCUCUGUUUUUAUUUUAUUUUAUUAUGUGUCCUCAGGGCAUGGACAAAACUUUACCUGAUUGUCUGGAGCCAGCACAGAAAGGCAUAACUUUGGGCUUCUUAAGAUCUACAGAUGGGAACCUCUUGGCAGCGUGUGCAGAAACGAUCAGGCCCACAAGGACAACACGGGAUGAAUCAAUCAUACAAGAUAGAUGAGGCCAUAGGGUGAUGCCUGGGUGAAAACCGCUUCCAGAUUUCACACCGGCUUCGCUUUUGUCCACCGGCUGAAAACACAGCUUUAUUGCAUGACCAUAAGUAAUGCAGGAAGGCACUCACCACUCCAUUUUGUGCAGCUUUUGUUUGUGAUAGUUUUAAUUUACUGCUGAAGUGAAUCCGAGACUGAUAAUUUUAUGAUUUUUUACCGAGAAAAGACAUUAAGCUACUUACUUUGGCUGUACUUCCUACUCUGCAGAAAUUAUUUAUCCAAGCACAGCAGCAAAGUGGGUCAGGGGAGGAAUAAUAAUAAUAAUAAUAAUAAAAAAAAAAGAAACCGCCCA